rnacentral:rRNA from 1 species
AGUGAACGCUGGCGGUAGGCCUAACACAUGCAAGUCGAACGGCAGCACAGUAAGAGCUUGCUCUUACGGGUGGCGAGUGGCGGACGGGUGAGGAAUACAUCGGAAUCUACUUUUUCGUGGGGGAUAACGUAGGGAAACUUACGCUAAUACCGCAUACGACCUACGGGUGAAAGCAGGGGAUCUUCGGACCUUGCGCGAUUGAAUGAGCCGAUGUCGGAUUAGCUAGUUGGCGGGGUAAAGGCCCACCAAGGCGACGAUCCGUAGCUGGCCUGAGAGGAUGAUCAGCCACACUGGAACUGAGACACGGUCCAGACUCCUACGGGAGGCAGCAGUGGGGAAUCUUGGACAAUGGGCGCAAGCCUGAUCCAGCCAUACCGCGUGAGUGAAGAAGGCCUUCGGGUUGUAAAGCCCUUUUGUUGGGAAAGAAAAGCAGCAGGUUAAUACCCCGCUGUUCUGACGGUACCCAAAGAAUAAGCACCGGCUAACUUCGUG